rnacentral:rRNA from 1 species
UACAGAGGGUGCGAGCGUUAAUCGGAAUUACUGGGCGUAAAGCGUGCGUAGACGGUCAUGUAAGUCGGAUGUGAAAGCCCCGGGCUCAACCUGGGAAUUGCAUUCGAGACUGCAUGGCUUGGGUGCGGAAGAGGGAAGCGGAAUUUCCGGUGUAGCGGUGAAAUGCGUAGAUAUCGGAAGGAACACCUGUGGCGAAAGCGGCUCACUGGACCAUUACUGACGCUGAUGCACGAAAGCUAGGGGAGCAAACAGG